CAGGUGUAGUUCAGUGGUAGAACACUAGCCUUCCAAGCUAGUUAUGCGGGUUCGAUUCCCGUCACCUG
rnacentral:tRNA from 2 species